UAAUACGGAGGGUCCAAGCGUUGUCCGGAUUUAUUGGGUUUAAAGAGUGCGUAGGUGGUUUAUUAAGUCAGUGGUGAAAUCCUGCAGCUCAACUGUAGAACUGCCAUUGAAACUGAUAAACUUGAGUUUGGUUUAGGUAAGUGGAAUUUAUGAUGUAGCGGUGAAAUGCAUAGAUAUCAUAAGGAACACCAAUAGCGAAGGCAGCUUACUGGACCAUAACUGACACUGAGGCACGAAAGCGUGGGUAGCGAACAGGAUUAGAUACCCUGGUAGUCCACGCCGUAAACGAUGCUCACUCGAUGUUAGCGAUAUACUGUUAGCGUCCAAGCUAAAGCGUUAAGUGAGCCACCUGGGGAGUACGCCGGCAACGGUG
rnacentral:rRNA from 1 species